rnacentral:rRNA from 1 species
CCUACGGGCAGCUGCAGUGGGGAAUAUUGGACAAUGGGCGAAAGCCUGAUCCAGCCAUGCCGCGUGUGUGAAGAAGGCCUUCGGGUUGUAAAGCACUUUCAGUGGGGAAGAAAGCCUUGGGGCUAAUACCCUCGAGGAAGGACAUCACCCACAGAAGAAGCACCGGCUAACUCCGUGCCAGCAGCCGCGGUAAUACGGAGGGUGCGAGCGUUAAUCGGAAUUACUGGGCGUAAAGCGCGCGUAGGCGGUCUGAUAAGCCGGUUGUGAAAGCCCCGGGCUCAACCUGGGAACGGCAUCCGGAACUGUCAGGCUAGAGUGCAGGAGAGGAAGGUAGAAUUCCCGGUGUAGCGGUGAAAUGCGUAGAGAUCGGGAGGAAUACCAGUGGCGAAGGCGGCCUUCUGGACUGACACUGACGCUGAGGUGCGAAAGCGUGGGUAGCAAACAGGAUUAGAUACCCUAGUAGUC